GCUUGUUUAGCUCAACCGGUUGAGUGCUUGCAAUUUGUAAUGCCAUCACACAUUGUUUGCAAUCAGAUGUCGGUUCGAUUCCGACAGCGAGCC